AUGCAUGUUGAUACUAUAAUGGAAUCUCGUGAUGCAACAUUUUUUGAGAACAUAUUUCCUAUGAAAGAUAUGCAUAGCAUUGCUAGAUUUUCUUCUGAGAUAAUUCCUGAAUCUAGUACAACUGAUGAAUAUUUCGAACAAUCACAUGAGGAAGUCCUUGAGAAGGAUAACAAUGAAGUUCCUAGAAGGAACAAGAGACAAAGGAUUGCAAAAUCCUUUGGUGAUGAUUUCAUUGUAUACCUUGUGGACGACACACCCAAGACGAUUGCAGAAGCAUAUGCAUCUCCGGAUGUAGAUGAUUGGAAAGAAGCUGUUCAUAAUGAGAUGGACUCAAUUCUUUCUAAUGGAACUUGGGAACUAACUGAUAGACCAUAUGGUUGUAAACCUGUGGGCUAUAAGUGGGUGUUCAAAAAGAAGCUAAAGCCUGAUGGUACUAUUGAUAAGUACAAGGCGCGGCUAGUGGCCAAGGGCUACACUCAGAAAGAAGGCGAAGAUUACUUUGACACCUAUUCACCCGUUGCUAGAAUGACCACCAUUCGAGUGUUACUUUCCUUGGCUGCCUCUUAUGGUCUUAUCAUUCAUCAAAUGGAUGUAAAGACAGCUUUUCUCAAUGGAGAGUUGGAAGAGGAGAUCUAUAUGGAUCAGCCUGACGGGUUUGUGGUAAAGGGAUUUGUCAUUAACGAGGCUGAUAGGUGUGUUUACUAUCGCCAUGGUGGGGGCAAUAGUGUCAUAUUAUGUUUGUAUGUGGACGACAUACUGAUCUUUGGUACAAACAUUAAUGCAAUUAAUGAGUCUCACUAUGUUGAGAAGGUCUUGAACCGAUUCGGUUUUAUGGAUAGCAAGCCUUCUCCAACACCUUAUGAUCCCAGCGUGACACUCAGAAAGAAUAAGAAAGAAACGAGAGAUCAAUUAAGAUACUCUCAAAUUGUCGGUUCACUCAUGUACUUAGCUAGCGCUACAAGACCAGAUAUCUCUUUUGCUGUGAGAAAACUGAGUAGGUUCAUGUCCAACCCGGGUGAUGAUCAUUGGCAUGCACUAGAAAGGGUCUUGCGCUAUCUGAGAGGUACUAUGAGUUACGGAAUUACUUAUUCAGGGCAUCCUGCUGUGCUAGAAGGAUAUAGUGAUUCAAAUUGGAUCUCCGAUGUUGAUGUACUUUACGCAACAAGUAGGUAUGUAUUUACUCAUGGUGGUGGCGCAGUGUCAUGGAGGUCUUGCAAGCAAACCAUAUUGACGAGGUCAACUAUGGAAGCAGAAUUAACUGCUUUGGACACAGCUACUGUUGAGGCAGAAUGGCUGCGUGAGCUCUUGAUGGACUUGCCGGUUGUUGAAAAACCUGUACCGGCUAUUCUUAUGAAUUGUGAUAACCAAACGGUUAUCGCUAAAGUGAACAAUUCUAAAGAUAAUGCAAAGUCAUCAAGACACGUGAAAAGACAUUUGAAGUCUGUCAGGAAGUUGAGAAAUUCAGGAGUAAUAACUGUUACGUAUAUACAAACAGACAAAAACCUGGCAGAUCCCUUUACAAAGGGACUAUCACGAAAUGUGAUAGAUAUUGCAUCGAGGGAGAUGGGUAUGAGACCCAUA
rnacentral:rRNA from 1 species